rnacentral:sRNA from 1 species
GAUUUCCCUGAAGAGGAGAGAAUGUGUUCUCAGGAAUACAGCCAUCCAGAGAGUGUGGGUGCUGAUGAUGAAGUUAGAAGAUGAACUGGUUGGGUACAGCUGAGUGGCCUGCCCUGCUAUCUGAACUCGAGUCCCACAGAUCAGCACCGUCGCCAGCUUCCUUGGCCAGCGUUGUAAAGUUGUGAUCUCUUUAGACAAUGUGGGGGAUGGAAACAGCCACAGUCACUGAAACGACAGGAGUCUCUUCGUUGGCCUAGACUGGCCAGUGUAGACUGGCUGGCUAGGGAGCCUCAUGGAUCCCCCGUCUCUGCUGCUCCAGCACCACAAUUACAAGGACAUGCUAUCACACCCAGCUUUUUACGUGCACACUGGGUACUGAAUUCAGGAGCUUUUGUCCCAACCUGU